GAUGAAGAACGUAGCGAAAUGCGAUAAGUAAUGUGAAUUGCAGAAUUCAGUGAAUCAUCGAAUCUUUGAACGCACAUUGCGCCCGCCAGUAUUCUGGCGGGCAUGCCUGUUCGAGCGUCAUUUCAUCCAUCAAGCCCCCGGCUUGUGUUGGGGACCUGCGGCUGCCGCAGGCCCUGAAAACCAGUGGCGGGCUCGCUAGUCACUCCGAGCGUAGUAAUACAUCUCGCUCAGGGCGUGCUGCGGGUUCCGGCCGUUAAAAAGCCUUAUUUACCCAAGGUUGACCUCAGAUCAGGUAGGAAGACCCGCUGAACUUAAGCAUAUCAAUAAGCGGAGGA
rnacentral:misc_RNA from 1 species